CCGCCCCCGUUUCCAGCCAGCCUACAGUACAGCCAGCACUUUAAAGCCACAUUAAUGGUACACUGUGCUCUGGAGGCAGGCACCUGGCUGAAGAGCAAGAGCAGCUUGUGAAAAUCAGCAUCACAGAACAAUAGGGUUAGACAGGACUGUAAGAAUCAUAUGGUCUAAUCCCAGCCACUGCCAAGAAAUGCUGUAUCAUUUCUAAGGGAAUGGACACCCACGCAUCCUUGAUCCACUGGGCAACCCGAUUGAUUUUGGGCUUCAUAAGAUUCCUGACUUUUGUCAACUUCACCAUAAAGCACACAGACGAAUUCCAGUUCUAGUGACAAUGUACCCAUUUUGUUGACAUUCAACAACCUAAUUACUGAGAUCUUUCUCCAGCUCAGCAAAUGAAGCGCACCUCAUUGGAUGUUUUUUCUUGCUU